GCUGCCGAAGCGGCGUCCUCCAGAACCGCGCGGCGCUGCGGUCGGAGCGCGCAGCAACCCGGGUGGAGGGCCGGGACCGAGGGGCGCUCCCGCGGUCACAGCCAUGCUCUCCCGUACGGGGGCCAGUGAACGCGCGCCAGUCUAGGCGUUGUGCUGCCCGCAAAGUGUCUCAUUGGGAAUAACCCUGGUGCUUCGUAUGGAGACCACGGUGCUGCAGAGAGCGUGCUUCCAGAUCCAGAGGCUCAGCUGCGGCGACAGAAGAGGCCCACAUGCUGGACCACUUAGUGCUGAAGAAGGAGGCUCUGGGUCCAAACUGAGUCACAUCCCCACCCUGCCAGGGAUGAGCUGUGUGACCUUGACGUCUAUGAAACAUAAAACGGGAUAGGAGGCCCUGGUCCUCAGCACCAUCAUCUGCUGGGAAUUGCUGGUCAGCUUCAAGCAGUGGGGAGCCCUUUCCCCUGUGUCUCACUGCACAGUUCCUCUAACUCUGGUCCAGCUUUUUCUGGCUUCAACUUGUCCUGAGCUUCCUUCUCCUCUAAACGUCCCAUUUUCCAUUCCGAACGGAGCUGGUUUCCCACUCCCUUCUCCCUGUACCCAGGAGGGAGACACACGUGAUCUGAGCUUCCGUUUGUGUCUUGCGGGCAGCUGGAUCUGCCUGAGUCUCCGUGCCUAUGGACGCCUGCCGUGGGUGGACAGGACAGCCACUUUCAACAUUGUUCUUCAGACGUACUCACCACUGUGAUUAUACAAGCUACGUAUGCGCACGGUGACCCAGGUACUGGUGGAAUUCAGAAUCUUCGUGAAGGGAAACUUACAGGUUUUGCACAGCAAAGGAAACUGUAAACAAAAUGAAACGACAACCUACAGACUGGGAGAAAAUAUUUGCAAACGAUGCGACCAUCAAGGGCUUAAUUUCCAAAACAUACCAACAGCUCAUAGAACUCCAUAAUUAAAAAAAAAACAAAACCCAAUCGAAAAAAGGGCAGAAGACCUAAAUAGACAUUUCUCCAAAGGAGUCAUACAGACGGCCAAGAGGCACAUGAAAGGAUGCUCAACAUCACUGAUCGUUAGAGAAACGCAAAUCAAAAGUACAAUGAGGUACCACCUCACACCGGUCAGAAAGGCCAUCAGCAAAAAGUCUACAAGUAAUAAAUGCCAGAGAGGGCGUGGAGAGAAGGGAGCCCUUGUGCACCGUUGGUGGGAAUGUAAAGUGGUGCAGCCACGGUGGAGAACAGUAUGGCGGUUCCUCAAAGAACUAAAAAUAGAGUCACCAUAUGAUCCAGCAAUCUCACCGCUGGGCGUAUAUCCACAGAAAACUCUAAUUUGAAAAGAUACAUGCACCCCAGUGUUCAUAGCAGAGCUAUUUACAAUAGCCAAGACAUGGAAGCAACCUAAAUGUCCAUUGACAGAUGAAUGGAUAAAGAAGAUGUGGUGUAUAUAUAUAUAUAUGUGUGUGUGUGUAUACACACACACACAAACACACAAUGAAAUGUUAGCCAUAAAAAAGAAUGAAAUAAUGCCAUUUGCAGCAACGUGGAUGGACAUAGAGAUUAUCAUACAAGUAAGUCAGAGAGAGACAAAUAUCAUAUGAUAGCCCACUUAAACGUGGAAUCUAAAAUAUGACACAAGUGAACUUACCUAUGAAACAGAAACAGACAUAGAAAACAAAGUUAUGGUUGCCAAAGGGGAAGGGUAGGAGGAGGGAUAAAUAAGGAGUUUGGGAUUAGCAGACCCAAACUACUAUAUAAAAAACAGAUAAACAACAAGGACCUACUGUACAGCACAGGGAAAUAUAUUCAAUAUCCUGAAAAAAAGGAAAAAAAAACCUUUGUGAAGGGAAGAAUAGCCAACGUCAUGUGAAUAAUGAAGUGUCAGCCGUUUAAAAAUCUCAAACAAGUGCCGUUUUACAAGAAAAAUAAUAAAUGUAGUGUGUUAGGGUUCCCCACAGAAGCGUCACCAAUAAUCAGCAGGGUAACAGGGUGUGUGUGUGUGUGUCUGCGUAUCUAUAUAUCUGUUGUAUAUUGAGAGAGAGGGAAAUAUUUAUUUUAAGGAAUUAUUUUACACAGUUAUGGGGGCUGGUAAAUCCAAAAUCUGUAGGGUGGGCGGGCAGACUGGGGACUCAGGGAAGAGUUGCAGUUUGAGCGCAAAGUCCGUUUUUGGCAGAAUUCCUUCUUCUUUGGGGGACGUCAGUCUGUUUUGUCUUCAGCUGAUUGGAUGAGACCACCCCCCAAUACAGAGGGCAACCUGUUUUAGUCAAAGUCUACCGAUUCAAUAUGAAUCUCGCCUAAAAAAUUACCUUCACAGAAACAUCUAAAAUCAUGUUUGACCAAAAUCUGGGUACUGCAGCCCAGCCAAUUUGACACAUAAAGUUAACCAUCACAUAUGACUCAUCUAGUUUUUAAUUUAGUUUUAUGUUUUGAAAAUGAGUUAAGGUCUUGUAAACCUCCCAGUUAAAAUGAACAAUGCAAGAAUGCGAAUAGAGAAGCCUCACCAUUGAAGAGAAUGACACGUGGGUUUCUCAGACCUUGGACGCGACGUCUGUGCAGGACGGAUGCGCGGCCGUAACUGCGUCAUCAACAGACGCUCCGCUUUAUUCCCGCCUGUGUACAAAUGAUCAGGCAUAUAUGCCACUCACGCCCUCUUCACUUACCUUUGCGUUUUCCGUUAUUGCUUUGUUCUCUGAUGAGGAUGAAAAUACAAUGGAAUUAAUGAUAGUCAAUGACAACAUGGCAAUUCAUAAGCAUGGCAAUGGCCUGGAGUACCACAAGUGUCAAUGACGGGCCGGUGCACUGGACACAUCUGUCACAGGCUGGCUGGAUGCCUGACGGACGUGAAUCAGGAAGUGCUGGGGGCUGUUGAAUCAUUCCUGGGCGCGGGAGCCAUCCUGUGAACUGUAGAAGGUUGAGCAGAAUCCCUGGCCCCGCACCCAUGAGAUGUCAUUAGCCCUAAAUCCAUCUGCCUGGUUGCCAGCCCGCUCCGCUGCACCCCUUUUGCAGGCCCCGGCUUGGUUCUCUGGUCCUCCGACUGCAUCUUUCCUCAAACCCAAGUGGGUGCAUCCGCUGACAUUGUCAGGUGAAGGCCUGUAUCUACCACGCAAGGAAACCUACCUUGAUUUCCCAGCAUGCACACGACUUCACGCAGUCACUCUCCAUUUAAAAAAGUCACAUUUCCCAUGAGCUGCUGAUUCGUGCGUUCAGAGUGCAUCUCCUGGACUUCUGCGUGCUCUGGGAAGCUGCCCACCCAGACCAUGGCAGGGCUCGUGCCUCCAGAAUGGGUUUCAAAAGCACCAUCGACAGGUGACUAACCCCUUCUUAGCAUAUGUGUAUGCGGUUCCAGAGGUCCAGCCACGCCCUUCCCGUCUAGAGCCUUAAGGUGGCCUUGCUACAGGGCUCCUGUGACCUUCACUGCCAGAAGAACUUGGUUCGGGCCAGCUGAAAUCGGCCACCCCUGAGGGCCCAGCACCAGGCCGGCUUCAGGUUCAGAGGAUUCUAAACGCAACAGCUGCAUGGUCCACACUUUCUUUCCCCCUCAGGAGAGCAUGUGAACACAGAAUUGGAGAGGCACUUUACUGAACCAUCUCUACAGCGUCCACGAGAGGACUUCAUGUGCUCACAAAUGACCCACGUGCCCAGGGACUGGGAUCUUUACCCCGAGGAGCCUUCCCAGAUUGGCCGCAUGUGUCCUACAGAACCUCAGGGAUGCUCAGGGCAUCCUAAAGGUGACAUGAAGGAAAAUGAUUAGAAUUGACAGGUUGAGAUGCCUCCCACCCCACCACUCAUUAGCAGCCGGAAUAAGAAAAUGCAGCUUCCGUUUCUAAAAAUGGGCUGAGCAGACUCCAGACAAGAGAUACAGACCCCAAAUGAACACGUGAAGAGCUGCUCAACAUCAUUAGUCAUUAGGGAAACGAACCUUAACAUCAUAAUGAGAUGCCCUACACACCUAUUGGAAUGGGUAACAUUUUAAAGGCCCGCAGUAUCAGGUGUCAGCAAGGCUGUGGGGGUAUGGGACUCCCACACAGCGGGUGGGAAUGUGCAGUGUUCCAGCCCCUUUGGAAGACAGUUUAGCAGCUUCUUCUGCAGUUAAACAUAUGCUGUCCCCCGUGAGCCAUCUGUGUCACUCCCAGGUGUUUACCCACGAGAGGAGAAAACAUCUAGCAACUUUAUCACCCAAACUGGAAAUAACCCACAUGGCCAUCACCUGGCACUUGAUAAAGCAGUAGUGUCACCUCCAUACAACGGAACACUCCCUCCUCAGCAGUAAACGGUUACCGAGACAGGAACAUGACGACCUCAAAAGCAUUGUGCUACGUGAAAGAAACCAGAUGCUAAAAGCUACGUACUGUAUGGUUCUAUUUAUGCGACAUUCUGGAAAAGGCAAAAAUAUAGGAACGUAAGUCAGGAGUGCUGAGGCGGGGAGGUGAUUGACAGGGAAGGGACAGGAGGGAACUUCUUGGGGUGAUGGGAAAGCUCUAUAUCUUGACGGAGAAGAGCUGUACACCUGCAAGUGAUGAACGCUUUUAUUGAGAUAUAAUUGAUAUAUAACAUCGUAUUAGUUUCAGGUGUACAACAUAAUGGUUUGAUAUAGAUAUAUAUCACUAAGUGAGUAAAUUUUAUCAUAUGUACGUUUUACCUCGAUAAAAUCCAUCUUAAAGAGAAAAACAUAAAAAAUGCCAAACAAGCUCUCCUUCGAAAGUGUGAAGACUCAAGGUCACAGGGUCCUGACGUCUUUUGAAAUCGUGCCGUUGAAGGGGGGCACGUUUUGCCGCCCCAAAAUAUGCCACUUUCUCGUGAUUAUUUUGGGCUAAAUGCAAUCAAACCCCCAGCAGAUUCAGGAAAAUUUCUAUACUCCCCCUCUGCCUGCUUACAUUGCAGAGGGGGAAGGUACCAGGAAGAGAGCGCUCACCAGGGAUGCCUUUUUACCUGAGAAACUUACCUGCAUAACAGGGCAACCUUUGUUUUCCGAACAUCUCCUCUGCCUUCCUUGUGGAGGCCCCUCCUCCCCUUCGUGGCCCCAGACCCCAGCCCUUUCCUUAGCUCAAGACGUUAUACAAGCUUCAGUUACCUGGCUGCCCAUACGUAAGUCAUUUUCUUUGCUUAUUUCUCCCGUGAAUCUCUCUUGUGUGGAUUUAAUGAUCAGACCAGCCAAAGAACCUAGAAGGGCAGAAGGGCAAACUUUCUUGCCCUGUACUCUACUCCCCUGAGAAGCCUAGAGGAAGACAGAGUUUCAGAGCAAUCUUUCCUGACUCUUUUCGUUUCUGGGUUUUAGGUUUGGGGCAUGAGCCCCCGAUCUGUUUAAACAGAAGACGUAGGAAGGUUUUCUGGGACUGUGCUGGCGUCCGUCACACAAGGAUUCUUCCUCCGACUCUGCUGAACCUUCAGUACAGACACUUAAUUUUUCCAUAAACAAGGAUGUUAGGAGAGGAUAUCUUUGGCAAGCGUUGCUUCGGGAGACUUGUCUCCUUUGGAUAUUUCUAUACACAGAAAUGUGAAUGGUGAGAUCACUCGUUUGGGCGAAUACUUUUGAACCGAAGAGUCAAAACCAAUGCUAUGAUGUUUAUAUACCGUGCAGGGAAACAUUAGCUGGAAACUGCAUCUGUUGGGAGCCCACGUUCAACCCUGAACCUGAGAAUGGGGAAAGAGACAUGGUGGUGACUGUGCUGGGCGGGGCUCUGUCUUCCUCCGCCAAGCCUUUGUCCACUGGCUUCUGUCUGCCCCAGGCUGGCCGCACGUGGGAAGAGAUGCCCAUCCCUUGGUUCCCCGGCACGGCUUACGAGCGGGCCAAGCAGCGGGCGCUGAAGGUCAGCCUGGGAGCCUCGGGCCUGUUCUCGGUAGAGCUCAGGUUGUGGGCCUGCCCUCCUGUACUGGCCCAGACCCCGCUCCUGCCGCCUUUGGGAUUUUUCCUUGGGAGGUGCAGCCAGGCUGUCCUCCUGGGUCAGGUCAGGAGAUGCUGUCCUGGGGCUGGUCGUCCACCUCUGUCUGAGGGCUUGAGCAAGUCGAGUCCGGGCAGAAGUGGCAGGUCUCAGCCCGGCCUCCAGACCUCAGCUGUGACCUCUGGACCAGCUUCCUCCAGACGCCUGCACGUGGGGACCCAAGGCAGUGGCGCCUUUCCUGGAUGCGAAUACAGUGAUACGCGGCGUCUGGCCACUGUUCCUUGCGCACAGUUCCUGCCUAUGUGGGCGUUCCUGGGUUCCUGUCCACACAGCCCCUCCACAGCCCACGGCCUCACCCCGAGGGCCCCAUGCUGGGGGAGGCCCGAGAUGGAGAGUUUGCAGGGGAGACCUGGGCCUCUGAGAAGCUGAUCUGCUGCUGCAGGCCCUUGAGAGCACACGGUCCUGGGCCACGGUCCAUCCGGGGUUGCAUGAAGGUGGCCUCUCCAGGUUGUCAACUGGGUGUCCUACGGGUUCAGCCGCUGCUACUUUUUAAAAAAAAUUUAAAGACAUUUGGGGAAUUCCCUGGUGACCCAGCGGUUAGGGCUCCGCGCCUUCAUUGAUGAGGGCUCGGGUUCAAUCCCUGGUCAGGGAACUAAGGUCCCACGAGCCACGUGGCAUGGCCAAAAGUAAAUAAAUAAAUUAAAAAUAAAUAAAUAACUAAGAGAUUUUUCUGGAAUGGUUUUAAGCUCACAGCGAUAUUGAGAGAUUUCCCAUAUACCCCCUUUCCCCACACAGGCACAGCCUCCUCCAUUCCUGCCACCCUCCACCAGAUAGUACAUUUGUCACCACCGAUGAGCCUGUAUUGACACAUCAUUAUCAUCCGAAGUUCAUGGUUUACGUUAGGGGUCCCUCAGUGUUGUACAUUCCAUGGGUGAGGACACGUGUGGGAGGACAUGUAUCCGCCCUAACAGUAUUGUACUGAGUAGUGUCACCACCCUGCAAAUGCUCUGAGCUCUCCCUGUUCACCCCUCUCUCCUCCCCAGCCCCUGGCAACUUCUGAUCUCUUUUUAAAAGAGCACCUUAGCUGGAAAUCACUUGAAAUUGACAGAAAAUUGCAAGUAUGGGAAGAGUACAAAGAAUGUCCAUCUACCUUUGACCCCGUUUGCUUGAACCUUUGCUCUCCCCCUUUACAUACAUACAUAGAUAUGGAGCUGAAUCGUGUGAGAGUAAGUUACAUGCAUCACGAGCCUUACUCCAGAAUAUGCCCUCACGUAAGCACCGGGUCAGAUGCUCAGUGAGAGUUCACUGGGAAGCUCUUCUCCCACCGGAAGACAUGCCCUCUCCUUCUCCAUUCUGCCUUUCUUCCAGAAACCUUUUCCUACCCCCACCUACCUUUUCUGGGGUCUGCUCGAGUUCCCUGUUCUGUGCCUCUGACGUCUUGCUAUCAGAUGGCCCACCCUCAGCCUGUAGUCCUGCAGAACUGCCCUGUACAGUUGUGCAGUCUGUGCACUGCAUAAAGGCUCCAGGUGAAGGGGGCCACCUUCACUCUGCUCGUGGGCUGGAUGCCCAUGGAGUUGCAUCUGCCCUGAGCAGUGGCUUUUUAAAAUCCACACAAAAGCAUCACAUAGGCCAGGAGAGGUAGGUAACAAAAGUGUUCUAGAAGGUGGAAGUGAUCCACAGUGUCCAAUGCUGCUUGCAGAGUCAAGAAAGAGGCCAACUGGAAAACAGUAUGGAGGUUUCUCAAAAACUGAAAAUAGAACUAUCAUAUGACCCAGCAAUUCCACUCCUGAGUAUAUAUCCGAAAAAAAAAACCCCAAAACCCCAAAACACUAAUUCGAAAAAUACAUGCACCUUGACGUUCAUAACAUUAUUUAUAAUUGCCAAGAUAUGGAAGCAACCUAAAUGUCCAUUGACAGAUGAGUGGAUAAAGAAGAUGGAAUACUACUCAGCCAUAAAAAAGGAUGAAAAUUUGCCAUUUGUAGCAACAUGGAUAGACUUGGAGGGCAUUAUGCUAAGUGAAAUAAAUCAGAAAGAGAAAGACAAAUACUGUAUGUUAUCACUUACAUGUCGACUCUAAAAAAUUCAACAAACUGGUGAAUAUAACAAAAAAGAAGCAGACUUACAGAGGUAGAGAACAAACGAGUGGGGAGGAGGGGGAGGGGCAAUAUGGGGGGAGGGGAGGGACAAAUUUGGAGUGUAAGACAGGAUCAAGGAUGUAGUGUACAACAUGGGGAAUAGAGCCAAUGUUUUUUAGUAACUCUAAGUGGAAAGUAACCUUUAAAAAUUGUAUAUAAAAUUUUUUUAAUUAAAAAAAAGAAAGAGGCCGAUCGAGGAUUGAGCUCUGCAUUGAGCAACAGUGACAUCACUGGUGACCUUGAGAUUUGCUUGGGGGGAGUAGUAGAGGUGACAGCCUGAUUAAAGUUGGUUCAAGAAUGCAGGCAAGGAAUUAGGACAGCAAGAGUGUGUGUGUGUGUGUGUGUGUGUGUGUGUGUGUGUGUGUGUGUGUUGAGCGGGGCUGGGGAACAGAGGAAGCAGCGUGGUGUCCAGACAGCAUGUGAAGGUCAAGGGUUCUGUGGUUUGACAUAUGGGAAAGAGUCUAACUGCUGGGUGAUUAGUUUUAAAUGAAACAAUACCCGAGAAAGCACUUAGGACCGUGCUUGGCACAUAUAGAGGUUCAAUCAGUGUGAGCUGUGAUCGUUGUAACCACACUGGCAGAAACGUUGGCGGCUUCCUGGUUGCAUCGGGGAACUCGGAGCCCUGAGCAUCCCUCCU